CCCCGCUCCCAGGAAAAGGAAUCCCUCGACAAGCCCAGACCAUCUUGGCCCCUUGGCGGCCUUCCAGUAACAGAGUCAGGCAAAUGCACGGGGGAAGCCUGCUGAGCUUUGGGGGAGUCCCUCAUGUCCCUCUGUCCUUCCUCGCCCACGCAGACUUAUCUGGCCAAUUUGCACCGAGCACUUAGCAAGCACUUGGACACAUUUGCUUCCUGUACCAAAUGUCAGGACUAUGAGCACCUGCCUUUGUCAAGCUUCCCCGAGCAUCGGAGCUGAGGCAGACCGCAGUGGCUUCCUGUCACGCCUGGGGUUUCUUGAGUACCUUCUCCAGCGCUGUUCUUGGCUCUCUACAGGCAGUUCGUGAUGGUGUUUGCUGAACGGAGGCCUUCAAUCUAUCCACGAUGCGUUGCCACCGACAGAGCAGGCGUCUGAAGGGUGGCCCAGCCUGGUCCUGGCCAGAGCCAGCAGCAGCAUUGUUUGAACUUCCUUGAGCGUCCUCCUAGAGCGCCACCCGGACGUGAACUCUGGGUUCGCAACUCACUCCUAACUGCUCAGUGUCGGGAAUAUUAACGAAUCCAUGUCUCCAGGCCAGUCAUAUCAACUUUCAAAGACCUACCUGUUCUUCCACGGAAAAAAAUUCCAAAAGCCUCCAAAAAUGACAUGUUCACUACAACAGGAAAUGACGUUCUACUGAAUAACCACAGUGCUCACUAUAAUCAGCCUAUAGUCAAGCACAUGCCUCUGGUCUGGAGAUGCCAUGGUCUCCCAUCACAUAAAGUUCCUGCUAAUAACUUCUUCUGGAAGAACUCCCCUCAUUCAAAAAUCAAGGAGAAGCAGAAGAAAAUGUACCCAAAGAUACUACAAGAAAAUGAAUCACAUAUGUCUCUAAAGCUCAUCUCAAAGCAGAGCCAAAAGAAGUCAUGGUCAGACAAAAGGAAGAGGUAAAAUAUAAACUGACACUAUUCACAAAAUAAGUUGAAUAACGAAAUAAAUAGGAAUGAAGACCACAUUGGAAGCAGUGAACUGGGAAAUUGAUAUUGCUGUAAACACAGUGAAGAACUAGGAGGACAGAAUCCAAAAAACAACAAUGUCAGCAAAUACAUAAUGCUUAUAUGUGCCUGGAACUAUUAUUAAGUAUUUUAUAUACAUUUUAUAUACAUUGUCUUGUUCAAUGUUUACUGCAACCUUGUGAAAUAAGUAGGCACUAUUAUUAAUCAGCUGUACAAAAUAAAACAAAAGCAGUUAACUUACCAAAGUUAGAAACUAAAAUUCCAAUUCAGGAAGACUGAAUUCAGAGCUUACACUUUUAAUCAUUAUGCUGUCUUCCGGGAAAAAAAAAAAAAAAAGAUAUGUGUUGAACAAAGAUUUAUGAAUACUAAGUAGAGAAAAAACAUUAAGUAUGAAGUCAAGAGAAAUGUAACACAUGUAUGAUUGCUAUUUCAGAAAAAAAAUUAGAUAGAACAUUUAUAGAUAGUGUUCAAGAAAAUUUCCCCAAAAUAAAAGAUAAUUUGAUUCUCUAUCUUGAAAGCAUGCCCUAUGUAUAAGAAAACAACUGGAAUAAUGCUCAAAUAUGAGAUAUAUGCCAUAAAUUUGUGAGCAUUAGAAGUCCUUAGGGCAUAUAGACAGAAAAUUGAGUCCUCUACAAAGAAGAAAUCUCCAGCUGGCUAAUGAGUUCUUCAUUACAAUAUUUAGUAAUGAAAGCUACCAGAACUUUGCCUAUAAUGUCCUCAAAAAAAAAAAAAAAAAAAAAAAAGAGAGAGAGAGACCCAAGGAUUUUGUACCAAGCCUAACUGUCUUAUUAGUAGAAAGGCAGCAGAUGUAUUUUUAGAUGAAGACACAAUGAGGAAAAUAGAUGUCCCAUAAUUAGCAUAUUUCCAUGAGCAGAUACUAGGAGGUAAAUCUUAAUUAACCGAGGAAUAUGUAGAGAAACUGACAGAAGAUGUCAGCCAAGCCCAUCCUCUGCACAUGGACUGGAUGCCACAUCACCUACUUUGGUAUGAACUGAUGUCUAGAACUUGAUCUACAAUCCCCAGAUAACACUCAUUUAACAAACAUUAUUAUGGUUCACCAGAUUCCCUUGCCUUCUCCUUUGGGUCAGGAGGAAGAAUUGUGUAUCUAUGCUGCAUUCAGGUUGGUCAGGGUGACUUGCUUUGUUUGAUGUAUUGCAAAUAGAAGUGAAAGGUGUCAUUUCUAAGGAAAAGUAUUUAACAGCCAGAGGUGAUACCUUUCCUCCUCUUUGCCCUCACGUGGUGAAGGCACAUGUUCCUGAUGGUGAAUGCUUCAAUGACCCAGGACACGGUGUGAGAGUAACAUGAAACAGAGUCCCCUACAACUCAACGGGGAUGGGAAGUGUGAGCAAGGCGUACAGUUGUGUGGUUUUAAGUUAGAUUUCAAAGUUGUUUCAGACAGUGUAUAUAACUGAUGCUGACCAAAAACCAUGAUGCACGUGAACAAAAUGAGUGUCGAGGAUUACACAUUUCUGCCCUGAUCUUUUACUCUUUUGUAGACUCCCUUCACAUUUCUUUCUUUUCACUGUUGUAAUCCCCUUAAUAGAAUCUUUCCAAUGCAUUAAACUUAGCUGUUGGAGAAACAUAUCUCUUUCCCUUCAUACUUCUACCCAAUUACAUUAUAUUAUGUCUAAUUACAUUACACAAUUACACUAGCAAAUAGAAUAUGCAUCAGUAACACAGAGAACUAUUGGUAGACAGACAGUGGAAGGGAGGGAUGGGGCACACCAGUGACAAGCGUACUGGCAAGUUACCAACAGGCACUAGUGUGUGUGAGCAUGGUUUGUAAAGGCAAGGAAGUUUGUGGGUCAGUUAAUGGGAAGUUGAUUAAGAUAAUUUUAUUAUAAAUAUUCACUCAAGGGGUGCCUGGGUGGUUCAGUCAGUUAGGUGUCUAACUUUGGCUCAGGUUGGUCUUGGGGUCUUGGGAUCAAGCCCUUCAUUGGGC